UGCAGUCGAGCGGAUGAAAGGAGCUUGCUCCUGGAUUCGCGGCGGACGGGUGAGUAAUGCCUAGGAAUCUGCCUGGUAGUGGGGGACAACGUUUCGAAAGGAACGCUAAUACCGCAUACGUCCUACGGGAGAAAGCAGGGGACCUUCGGGCCUUGCGCUAUCAGAUGAGCCUAGGUCGGAUUAGCUAGUUGGUGAGGUAAUGGCUCACCAAGGCGACGAUCCGUAACUGGUCUGAGAGGAUGAUCAGUCACACUGGAACUGAGACACGGUCCAGACUCCUACGGGAGGCAGCAGUGGGGAAUAUUGGACAAUGGGCGAAAGCCUGAUCCAGCCAUGCCGCGUGUGUGAAGAAGGUCUUCGGAUUGUAAAGCACUUUAAGUUGGGAGGAAGGGUUGUAGAUUAAUACUCUGCAAUUUUGACGUUACCGACAGAAUAAGCACCGGCUAACUCUGUGCCAGCAGCCGCGGUAAUACAGAGGGUGCAAGCGUUAAUCGGAAUUACUGGGCGUAAAGCGCGCGUAGGUGGUUCGUUAAGUUGGAUGUGAAAUCCCCGGGCUCAACCUGGGAACUGCAUCCAAAACUGGCGAGCUAGAGUAUGGUAGAGGGUGGUGGAAUUUCCUGUGUAGCGGUGAAAUGCGUAGAUAUAGGAAGGAACACCGUUGGCGAAGGCGACCACCUGGACUGAUACUGACCUGAGGUGCGAAAGCGUGGGGACA
rnacentral:rRNA from 1 species